rnacentral:rRNA from 1 species
UACGGGGGGGGGCAAGCGUUGUUCGGAAUUACUGGGCGUAAAGGGCGCGUAGGCGGCUCUUCAAGUCAGCCGUGAAAUCUCCAGGCUUAACCUGGAAGGGUCGGUUGAUACUGUCGAGCUAGAGUGUGGAAGAGGCAACUGGAAUUCCGUGUGUAGCGGUGAAAUGCGUAGAUAUACGGAGGAACACCUGCGGCGAAGGCGGGUUGCUGGGCCAACACUGACGCUGAGGCGCGAAAGCGUGGGGAGCAAACAGG